AGCCUUUGAUGCAUAAACGUGAAUAAGAGUAGUGGACAGGAGCCUUUUCUGAAAACUAUAUUCUGAGGCU